UACGUAGGUGGCAAGCGUUGUCCGGAUUUAUUGGGUUUAAAGGGUGCGUAGGCGGCCCUGUAAGUCAGUGCUGAAAUAUCCCGGCUUAACCGGGAGGGUGGCAUUGAUACUGCGGGGCUAGAGUACAGAUGAGGUAGGCGGAAUUGACGGUGUAGCGGUGAAAUGCUUAGAUAUCGUCAAGAACACCUAUAGCGAAGGCAGCUUACUAGGCUGUAACUGACGCUGAGGCACGAAAGUGUGGGGAUCAAACAGGAUUAGAAACCCCCGUAGUCC
rnacentral:rRNA from 1 species